UAGGGAAUCUUCCGCAAUGGACGCAAGUCUGACGGAGCAACGCCGCGUGAGUGAAGAAGGAUCUCGGUUCGUAAAACUCUGUUGUUAGAGAAGAACAGCGCAUAGAGUAACUGUUAUGCGUGUGACGGUAUCUAACCAGAAAGCCACGGCUAACUACGUGCCAGCAGCCGCGGUAAUACGUAGGUGGCAAGAGUUGUCCGGAUUUAUUGGGCGUAAAGCGAGCGCAGGCGGUCAAUUAAGUCUGAUGUGAAAGCCCCCGGCUCAACCGGGGAGGGUCAUUGGAAACUGGUUGACUUGAGUGCAGAAGAGGAGAGUGGAAUUCCAUGUGUAGCGGUGAAAUGCGUAGAUAUAUGGAGGAACACCAGUGGCGAAGGCGACUCUCUGGUCUGUAACUGACGCUGAGGCUCGAAAGCGUGGGUAGCAAACAGG
rnacentral:rRNA from 1 species